CAUUAAGUUGGGCACUCUAGAGAGACUGCCAGGGAUAACCUGGAGGAAGGUGGGGAUGACGUCAAAUCAUCAUGCCCCUUAUGCUUAGGGCUACCCACGUGCUACAAUGGGUAGUACAGAGGGUUCCCAAGCCGUAAGGUGGAGCUAAUCCCUUAAAGCUACUCUCAGUUCGGAUUGUAGGCUGAAACUCGCCUACAUGAAGCUGGAGUUACUAGUAAUCGCAGAUCAGA
rnacentral:rRNA from 1 species